AACAAACGCUGGCGGCGUGCCUAACACAUGCAAGUCGUACGAGCAAGGGGCCUUCGGGGCCUGCGUAAAGUGGCGCACGGGUGAGUAACGCGUGGAUAAUCUGCCCUUCAGUUGGGAAUACCUCAUCGAAAGGUGGGCUAAUACCGACUAAUGCUGUGAGACCUCGGUUGAGCAGCCAAAGAGACCCUCUGCUUGCAAGCACUCGCUGACGGAUGAGUCCGCGUACCAUUAGCUAGUUGGUAGGGUAAUGGCCUACCAAGGCGACGAUGGUUAGCAGGUGUGGGAGGAUGAUCAGCGACACUGGAUCUCAGACACAGUCCAGACUCCUACGGGAGGCAGCAGUGAGGAAUCUUGCGCAAUGGGGGCAACCCUAACGCAGCAACGCCGCGUGAGUGAGGAAGGUCUUCGGAUCGUAAAGCUCUGUCGGAUGGAAAGAACCGCAUAGGGGUAAACAGCCCCUGUGUCUGACGGUACCAUCAAAGGAAGCACCGGCUAACUCCGUGCCAGCCGCCGCGGUAAAAC
rnacentral:rRNA from 1 species